GUAAUAAAUGAAUACAACCGAACUAAGACUUUGGGGGAUGAAACGAGAAGGAAAAUGGUGAACAUCCUGGCAGCUGACAUGACAGAAAAGAACGGUACAUCACCACCACGGCAGGUUAAAGAAAAAUACGCCAGAGGAAUUGUGGCUUUGUUCCCUUACCUCAGUGACCCCUUCUCCAAAAAUGGCUAUGAGCAUUACUAUGAUUGUGAGAGUGGCACUGGGUACUUGGCAUGGAGAAUCAAAACUAUACAGAGAGGCUUGGCUAAAGAACGAC